GGCGGGAAUGCGAUGAGCGAAGUUGCGUGAAAUUUUUCAUUUUGUUAAUUUAGUGCAAUUUUCUGCUUAAGCUUAUAAUAAUGGUGACUUAUUAGCUAUUUAGUAUCCGACAACGAACAGAGGACAAGUUUUUAUGCUGUCGUACGCUGUUUACGGCCCCCAAAAAAAGUGGGAUGGCGUGCUGCUAUUCAUACCCAAAUCAAAACAAAUAAUUGAAUAAAAGAUUUAUACAGGGAUCCUGUGAAUUUACAAAGUAAAAACAUCUAAAGAGCCGAACAUGGAAAUUCCAAUUUUUUUUUAUCUAUUAACAAAAGAAUGCAUUUUCAAGAAAACUAUAAUAAAAUAAUAAUAAUAAAUAAUAAAAAGACUAGAAGGUUUUAGACUCACGGUAAGAAAGUAAUACAAUGUAUUUUGGGUUAAUGCGAUCACUUCAGAAUAAAGACAGUUAAUUAGCGCGAGACAUGAAGUCGUAUUCCCUCCUAUAAGAGAAAAGGGAACAUUUUUCUCAUACAAUAAACACUUUCCAAACUAAAAA